CCUACGGGUGGCAGCAGUAGGGAAUCUUUCACAAUGGGCGAAAGCCUGAUGGAGCAACGCCGCGUGCAGGAUGAAGGCCUUCGGGUUGUAAACUGCUUUUAUAAGCGAGAAAUAUGAUGGUAACUUAUGAAUAAGGAUCGGCUAACUACGUGCCAGCAGCCGCGGUCAUACGUAGGAUCCGAGCAUUAUCCGGAGUGACUGGGUGUAAAGAGUUGCGUAGGUGGCAUAAUAAGUAGCUAGUGAAAUCUGGUGGCUCAAACAUUCAGACUAUUAGCUAAACUGUUAAGCUCGAGACCGUUAGAGGUAAGUGGAAUGUCUGGUGUAGGAGUGAAAUGCGUAGAUAUUAGAAGGAACACCAAUAGCGUAGGCAGGUUACUGGGACGGUUCUGACACUAAGGCACGAAAGCGUAGGGAGCGAACGGGAUUAGAUACCCCUGUAGUC
rnacentral:rRNA from 1 species